rnacentral:piRNA from 1 species
UGUUCUCGAACUCUCGAAGCCAGCAGC